UGGGGAAUAUUGGACAAUGGGGGCAACCCUGAUCCAGCAAUGCCGCGUGUGUGAAGAAGGCCUGCGGGUUGUAAAGCACUUUCAGUAGAGACGAAAAGCCUAAGGCUAAUACCCUUGAGUCUUGACUUAACCUACAGAAGAAGCAUCGGCUAACUCCGUGCCAGCAGCCGCGGUAAUACGGAGGAUGCAAGCGUUAUCCGGAAUGAUUGGGCGUAAAGCGUCUGCAGGUGGCUAUGCAAGUCUGCUGUUAAAGAGUGGAGCUCAACUUCAUAAGGGCAGUGGAAACUGCGUAACUAGAGUACGUUCGGGGUAGAGGGAAUUCCUGGUGUAGCGGUGAAAUGCGUAGAUAUCAGGAAGAACACCGGUGGCGAAAGCGCUCUACUAGGCCGUAACUGACACUGAGAGACGAAAGCUAAGGGAGCGAAUGGGAUUAGAUACCCCGGUAGUCC
rnacentral:rRNA from 1 species